rnacentral:rRNA from 1 species
CGGAGGUGCAAGCGUUAUCCGGAUUCACUGGGUUUAAAGGGUGCGUAGGCGGGUAAGUAAGUCCGUGGUGAAAUCUCUGAGCUUAACUCAGAAACUGCCGUGGAUACUAUUUGCCUUGAAUAUUGUGGAGGUGAGCGGAAUAUGUCAUGUAGCGGUGAAAUGCUUAGAUAUGACAUAGAACACCAAUUGCGAAGGCAGCUCACUACACAAUCAUUGACGCUGAGGCACGAAAGCGUGGGGAUCAAACAGGAUUAGAUACCCUGGUAGUCCACGCCCUAAACGAUGAUUACUCGACAUCAGCGAUACACUGUUGGUGUCUGAGCGAAAGCAUUAAGUAAUCCACCUGGGAAGUACGAUCGCAAGAUUG